UACAGGUUUUCUACACUUUUUUACACGCUUGGCUCGGUUACGAACGUUAAAUGUAUUAACCGGGUAUGUUUUAGGCUUGUAAAAGGCAUUUUUAAAACGCUUUAUUUUAUUUCUUUGAUGCACCGAGCACCAACGUCCAUCAAGCCCAAGUUUGAGAUUUCAGCUACCUAGCGACAAGCUACCUAGCAACAGGCCCGUCUUCACGGCAGGUACAGCUAGCAGAUGACAGGCAAACCAAAACUCCAUACAGCAACGAAACAAUGAAGACAAACUGACAAAGCUGGUCUGAACCGGAGGUUGCCACCUGGUAUUAUCAUCCUCUCACCUUGGUCCAGUCACCGUCCAACCGUCGUAGGUCUGGUCAGCAUAUCCAGAGUUCUCUAUCAGGCCAUCUCCAUCCAGGUCGAAC